UCUCCGAUCCUGAAGAAAGGUAUUGCUGAGAAGCAAAGCACAAGUUGGAAGAUUCAAAAUGAGCUGCAGACAAGUUGUGGCAUUGGAUGGUCUACUCUGGGAAUGCCAAUAUCUGAAACUGUUGCUGUGAAGCCAAUGGAAAUGAGUCAUGUGACUGAUACUUUGACAAAGAACUCGCGUUUCUGACCUCAUGCUGUGGUGGGAUCCUGGAGUCUCAUGUCUAGUUUUGCUGUAAACUUUGGACCCAGUAGAUGCAGAAACCUUUGAUUUGGUGUUGCAAGAAGACUGACUGAAGCGCGGUGGAUACUGGCAUAAAGGAUUGGUACUAAUGUAGAGCUGUCCCAGUCAGGUGGCCAGUAAUUUACAACUGCCAGUGUAGCUAAGAAUGAGAAAUGAUGACGCUAUCAAGAGAUGCAGUGGGGGACAUCCAUGAUUUCAGACUACAUUUAAUCUUGGGGUCACUGUCUGGAGCAGUGGGUGGAUGAUCUUCUGAGUUGGCCCGCAUCAUUAGGACUAAAGCCGGAAGCAAGAGGGGUAGGAGAAGUGGUGUCUUUGCUGUGGAUUAGUAGGUCAUCAUCUGGAUCGGUCUGGCAGUUUGUGUUACUUUCACAAGUGAAUGCAGGAGAUGAAGAGGAAGGCCCAAGAAAACAUGACAGAGAACAUUGGAGACUGAGCACCAACAACAACUAGCAUAAUGUAGAGGGCUGCGGGUCCUGACCGAUCAUUGCGGCACGGUCAGCAUCUUUAACGCUGCGGGUCCCAUAGAUGAUUUAGAAAUGGUCAUCUUUCUGCUUUGUACGCGUUAGCCUAGUACUACAUGUAUUGGACCGUGGUUGGGACCUCUAAUUAAAUGCAAGACUCAUGAUUACCCUACAUUAACAAACGUGAUAUUACACUACAACUUACCUCUAAACUGUCCUGAUUAAGUUUGGCUGUGCACAGACAUUUUAAAGCAUUUUCCUCUGCUUCAUUCGUUAUUUUUCAGGACACUCGGUAGGGUUAGUUUGAAGCCUUGCUGGCAUGGUAGAGUAGUUCCUGACCUAAAAAUAGAUUGGUUUAUAUUUUGGUUGUACCUUAAGGUUGCUGGUACUUUAAUUGGGGAGGACUGACUGUGGUAAUGGUUGGAGUGAAAUGGUAUCAAAUCCAUUAAACACAUAGUUUCCAUGUGUUCAAUGCCAUUCCAAUGGUUCCGUUCCAGCCAUUAUUUUGAGCCGUCCUCCCCUAAGCAGCCUCCGCUGGUGAAAUAGUGUGUUUAGAGGUCAGAAUGGGAGUCCAAAUAGUCCUGCAUAACAGGAGAAAUAUCUUGGUUUCUGCAAAGCGUGUCAGUGAGUGGGUCCUAGUCUAGUUUGAGGUGGAAGAAGCAUGCCUUAUUUAAUGUAUUUGUUUUAAAUCAACUUAAAUUUCCAUGUUUCAAUCCAUUGUAUUGCUUCCCGAAGGAAAUCCAGCUUGAAGCUGUUCUCUUGUCUGAGAGCCCUCCAUGGAUUUCUAUCCCAGCAAGAUCUAGAAGGAAAAAGCAUGUGUUGGUCUGAUAGUGAUUUCUAUGUGCAAGGUUUUAAACUGUGUAAUACACCCUGUACUGAUUGCAUUUACAUUUGAUUGAACAUACCUUGACUUCAGAAUGUCAAACAGCUUGUUCAUUUUUUUCAGUAACUGGGCUGUGCAUUCCACCUCCGUAGGCAGUUAGCCUAGCUGCAUCAUAGUUUGCAUCCCUUGAGUAAGUAAAGUAUUCAUUAGUACUACUACAUCAUGUUUUAUGAUUUAGCUUCUUUUCAUGCCAACAUUUAUUAAUAUUUGUAUAGUUAUGUGGCGCAGCGGUCAUUACAUCUCAGUGUAAUAGUUGUCACUACAGUCCCAGUGAAUCACAUCCAGCCGUGAUUGGAAG
ensembl:lncRNA